CCAACAGCCCUUUUUAGGGCUACCAUCAAUAAUAAUCCUAUCCAUU
rfam:Caenorhabditis brenneri strain PB2801 C_brenneri-6.0.1_Cont34.21, whole genome shotgun sequence.